rnacentral:rRNA from 1 species
GACGAACGCUGGCGGCGUGCUUAACACAUGCAAGUCGAACGGGAAGGCCCUGCUUUUGUGGGGUGCUCGAGUGGCGAACGGGUGAGUAACACGUGAGUAACCUGCCCCUGACUUUGGGAUAACUUCAGGAAACUGGGGCUAAUACCGGAUAGGAGCUCCUGCUGCAUGGUGGGGGUUGGAAAGUUUCGGCGGUUGGGGAUGGACUCGCGGCUUAUCAGCUUGUUGGUGGGGUAGUGGCUUACCAAGGCUUUGACGGGUAGCCGGCCUGAGAGGGUGACCGGCCACAUUGGGACUGAGAUACGGCCCAGACUCCUACGGGAGGCAGCAGUGGGGAAUAUUGCACAAUGGGCGGAAGCCUGAUGCAGCAACGCCGCGUGCGGGAUGACGGCCUUCGGGUUGUAAACCGCUUUCGCCUGUGACGAAGCGUGAGUGACGGUAAUGGGUAAAGAAGCACCGGCUAACUACGUG